UCAGAUUAAAUAACUAUUUCUAUUAGUUUCUUAUUAAUUGAACACAAGUCUCAAAUAACAAGAGUGAUAUUUUCCAAGGAAUUAGUACAAAGAAUAAACCAUUUCAAUUAACUUACCCACAGAAUCUUGAUCAUUCUUGGUACUCUACAUUUUCCUUUUCCUUUAGUUAAAUUUAAUUUGGCCAAAAAUAGAACAUUAAGUGGACAUACUAACAAUGAGCAACAGGAGAGUUCCUUUUACAAUAAAAAUAAUUUCUAAAUUUUACCCAAAAUUGUUUAUGAGAUACUCCCAAUUUAUUGGCAAAGUAGACUCAACUCACAUUUUUGCUGAAUCGAUUCUUCAUUAAUUAUAUAAUACUCCAAAAGUAAAUAUGUAAAAAUACAGUGUGUGCAUAUCAAGUUUACAUGCAUGUAGAAUGUCCGCAGUUAUACUGAAUUUACUAUAAACAAUAUUCUCAGCAGUGUCUUUUUUCUUGCUAUCAUCAAAAGAUGAAAUAUGAUUUCUAAGUUUUGUAACUUUACUUGUAGAUAUCUUGUCUCUAAGAUGUUAACAUGGACCAUUUAAAGAUACUGUAUUUAAAAUUAAAAAUGUUUGCAAAUGUUUUAUUGUAAUAUUUUUGACCAAGGUGUGACUCCACAGAUUUUUAAAGCUAUGAGUCCAUCAUAGAAGUCAACAAAUCUGGAAGCAAUUCCAUUCUUGCUCCGCAGAAAGCACUUUCAGGGGCUGUAGCUUCUUGCUCAGGUCUGCUGUUUGUUUGUUUUGUUCAGAUGGCAGUGGUGGCGGCAGUGGCGGUGGUGGUAACGCCUCCCAAGGGAAGGGGAACAGCCGAAAAACACCCAAACGCUGACCUGAAAUUUGAAAAUGACAGGAAAGGGUUGCUUGGGGCCUGUGUGGACAUUACACAAUAACCUUUUGUGAUUUACAUUUCAUCACGAUCUAACAUUUGUAGCCAGAUUCCUCAAAAGUUAUUUGAGAGUUCAUUUAAGAUUGCCAACUGCGAUCACAAUACAGCAAUUAGGCAGAAUUAAAGUUAAAAUGGAGAGAAAAUGAAGCAAGCAAUAAAAUACAAUGCGCACUGCCACCCCACCCCCACUGCGCAUUCUCCUGGAAGAAAAGGAGCCUUGAUAAUGCAUCAUCUUCCAAAAGCAACUGUAACAGGGCAGGUUCUGCUCUGCCUCCCCCUAACCCAUGUGCUCAGCAUUUCCAUCUUUGCUUUUCCUCUUCCAUUUCCUGGAGGAGCGGAGGUAAAGGCGAAGGCUGCCCCACGGAGCAAGCCACAAUCGGGAGCCACGUGGGUCACUUAAAAUGCCCCAAAAGCCACAUUUUUAAAAAGUGGAAGAAGCAAGUGAAAUUAACUUCAAAAAUGUGUUUAUUUUACCCCAUAUAUCCGAAAUACAGUCAUUUCAGCAUGAAAAGAAGAUUUUUAAAUGAUCGGUGGGGUAGUGUAUGUGCUUUCUUUCCCAUCACAUUUUGAACAGCUGGUGUCUUGCAUGCUCAUUGCACACCUCCACGUGGACUGGCCAUGUCUAAAUGCUCAGGGGCCGCAGGGCACAGAGUGUGGGUGGGCGGCCAGGGAGAACACGCUGGGAGAAAGAACAAACGUGGAAGCACGAGAAACAGUGGUAACGCAGGCCCCUCUGGCAAGCUCAGAAGGACCUGCUCUGAAAGCCCAGGGGAAAGGGUCAAGAAACAACCCACACUGUCCUCCACAGACAUCACUUUACCGCUGAUGUGUUGAAUUUUGUAAAGAUCAGCUCACUCAUCCUUGUGUGUGUAGCCAACAGAGUAUUCUUUCCAGAGUGUGGCUUUCCUGCCAUGAGGAGCCGGGGGUCACUGGCCACCGCCCCCCUCAGCCAGCCUGUGCCGCAGGACCCCAGGAUCCCCAGGCGCCUCUGGGUGUUUGUACGAACGUGAGUGCACACUGCGUGUGUUGGGUGGGGCUGUGAGUGUUAGGGUGCGUGAGAAUGUGGUGCAGCGGGGAGCAAGGUAGGCGCAUCCAGGCUCACAGCCCAGGGUUAGGGGCCUGGCCGUCCCGGGAGCCGCCUCUGCCAGGAACAGGCCCAUGUGGGCCACUGCAGCUUUCCUGUGGCCAUUCAUUCCACCCAUGGCCAGGGCCUCAUCAGUCCUUCAGCAAACCUAUUUUGGAUACUCCCAAUGAACCAGAAUGCUGUCUACACCCCGGAGAGAUCCCUGCAAAAACUUGGUCUCCCCUGGCUGGACCCACAUCAUCCUGUGUGUGUACCACAGGCAGGAUCUCCAAGCACCUGUGGCUUCCAGCCCUGCCCCAGCUGUGGUGGACCUGGUGGGAGAGGUUGGGCACAUGGACGCGGGAAGACAUGGGAAGACACUCAGACACGUCCAUGAGCAGCAGCAGGGUCCAAGUCCUAAAGUUUUCCAGGGAGAAAAAGGAGUGUUCUAGGUCACCUCCUAAGGGUGACACAUUUAACCAGAUUACUAGGCUGGGCCCAUCCCACCUGCCCUCCCAGCCCCAAACAAGACACACCAACAGGGCCUCCUCUCCAUUUACUUCUGGUUCUCCUUAUGUUUACAAACACUGUAUUUGGUUUCACCCCUUCCAAAUCCUACCCUUCAGUUUGUCAAGAAAUUAGAGGCACCCGAAGAGGCUUUGAGGGGUGCCAGGGGGCCUCUGGCACCAGGGAAGACUUGGCCCUGGGGCGCCUUCCAUCUGCACAUGUGCUUCUCAGCUCAGGGCUGGGAAUGACCUAGAGCCUCUCUUGGUGUUGACUGCCUUCUGGGAAAAACUUCCAGCCCAGGAUGAGGAAGGGAGAGGAUGGAUCUACACGGAAUCCUGAGUAAAGAGGCAGAAGGACAUAUUAACAUAGGUCGGUGGUUGGAGGAGGGAAGCAGACUUUGCCAGCACUGGGCCCUCCCUCGGACCUGGACCUGACCUCGGGGAUGCAGUGGGAUGCAGGGGGAUGCCCUGGGCCCGCCAGCACAGCCUGCCCCUCCUGCCCAUGGUUCUGGAAAAUAAGGUCACCCUGGAAGGUGGGGGUGGGAGCACAAGGCAGGGAGGAGAGGGAGAAGCAUGGUGGCCGCAGCCCUGGGAGCAGCAGUCCCUGCGGCUGGGACCAUGUCUGGUGGUGCUCAAGGAUGGCGAGCUGUUUGUAGCAGCGCUGCUGAGGAGUGCUGCCUGGUAUAACUUGUUUGUUUUGGGGCACAACUACUCUAAUAUGUGUUGUUCUGCGUUCAAUCUAAAGAAAAAAACUUCAAGAACUCUCAGAGCGUUAUCCCUGGCGCAGAAGAUGCUGUCUUUGUUAGAUGCACUCCACCUGUUCCGCUGGCUGCUCUUGGUGAUUUAAACUUGCCAGGAACACUUAGAAAAUGCAAAAAAAGAAAAAAAAAAAAAA
rnacentral:lncRNA from 1 species